rfam:Camelus ferus unplaced genomic scaffold scaffold29076, whole genome shotgun sequence.
GAGGGUGUAGCUCAGUGGUAGAGUGUGUGCUUAGCAUGCAUGGGGUCAUGGAUUCAAUCCCCAGUACCUCCA